AAGAUUAUACUUUCGGGGACCAUUUCUAUAGUUCAUUACUAGAGAAGUUUUUCUGAUCCUAAAGAGCACUGGAAACAACAAGGAGGAGAUGCAGCAUUCUCUCCUGAGCCUGAAGCUGGCUCUUGGUGUUGCGUUACUACAACUACUAUUUGUCAUUGAUGAUGGUUCUUGCUUUCCUUCAGGAUAGCAAAAGGGGGAGGAUGCAAUCUGAGUGGG
rnacentral:snoRNA from 1 species